UAGGGAAUCUUCGGCAAUGGACGAAAGUCUGACCGAGCAACGCCGCGGGAGUGAAGAAGGUUUUCGGAUCGUAAAACUCUGUUGUUAGAGAAGAACAAGGACGUUAGUAACUGAACGUCCCCUGACGGUAUCUAACCAGAAAGCCACGGCUAACUACGUGCCAGCAGCCGCGGUAAGACGUAGGUGGCAAGCGUUGUCCGGAUUUAUUGGGCGUAAAGCGAGCGCAGGCGGUUUCUUAAGUCUGAUGUGAAAGCCCCCGGCUCAACCGGGGAGCGUCAUUGGAAACUGGGUGACUUAAGUGCAGAAGAGGAGAGUGGAAUUCCAUGUGUAGCGGUAAAAUUCGUAGAUAUGUGGAGAAACACCAGUGGCGAAGGCGGCUCUCUGAUCUGUAACUGACGCUGAGGCUCGAAAGCGUGGGGAGCAAACAGG
rnacentral:rRNA from 1 species